UCGAGGGGCAUCGGGAGGGAAGCUUGCUUUCCUUGCCGGCGACCGGCGCACGGGUGAGUAACACGUAUGCAACCUGCCCUCUUCAGGGGGACAACCUUCCGAAAGGGAGGCUAAUCCCGCGUAUAUCGGUUUCGGGCAUCCGAGAUCGAGGAAAGAUUCAUCGGAAGAGGAUGGGCAUGCGGCGCAUUAGCUAGACGGCGGGGUAACGGCCCACCGUGGCGACGAUGCGUAGGGGUUCUGAGAGGAAGGUCCCCCACACUGGUACUGAGACACGGACCAGACUCCUACGGGAGGCAGCAGUGAGGAAUAUUGGUCAAUGGGAGAGAUCCUGAACCAGCCAAGCCGCGUGGGGGAAGACGGCCCUAUGGGUUGUAAACCUCUUUUGUCGGAGAACAAAACCCGGGACGUGUCCCGGACUGCGUGUAUCCGAAGAAAAAGCAUCGGCUAACUCCGUGCCAGCAGCCGCGGUAAUACGGAGGAUGCGAGCGUUAUCCGGAUUUAUUGGGUUUAAAGGGUGCGUAGGCGGUCCGUUAAGUCAGCGGUAAAAUUGCGGGGCUCAACCCCGUCGAGCCGUUGAAACUGGCAGACUUGAGUUGGCGAGAAGUACGCGGAAUGCGCGGUGUAGCGGUGAAAUGCAUA
rnacentral:rRNA from 1 species